CUCUUGUCAGACCCACUUCAGAGUUAAACAACGCAGGUCAUAUUAAAUUUGAUGUUUAUCCACCAAGUGAAAGAUACGUCUGAAGCAUCCUUAGCACCAGGGACCCCUGACAGAGUGGCCUCUGCUCUGGGCCCAGAUGGCUGGUUCUCACUGUCUGCUUUUCUCUCUUCCCAUGCCCUCAGCUCUGUGCACCGAGGAGUGUAUGCAUGGCCGCUGCGUCUCCCCGGAUACCUGCCACUGUGAGCCUGGAUGGGGAGGCCCUGACUGUUCCAGUGGCAGGAGGAGGACGGUCUCGCUUUACGGAUUGUUUGAGCUCUUCGACCAAGCAAUAUGGGAAAAUGGAGUGGCCACAUGUUCAGCCAUAAACCUGUGUCCCAUGUAAUAACGAAGCACGAAAGAAAGGGACGUCAGUUUAUUCUGGAUAAGGACAACAGAGUGGCCCUCAUUAAAUUGCACGAGGCUCACGAGUGGAGAUAAAGGGGGAAAGAAGUUUUGCUAUAUUGAAUAUCUAGCUUUUUAAAGUAAUUAGGAAUAUUAAAGCACUGACAAUGAUUGAGAUAG
rnacentral:lncRNA from 1 species